ensembl:lncRNA
GAAACCAAAGUGUUAUUUUUAUUCCUAGCCACAGAAUUAACACACCAUUUCCUCCAUCAUGCUCUGGUGUGAUACAACCCAGCUUGAUUUGACAUGGGAGGGAACUACAUAAGUGGGUGGAAACCAGGAGGUAAAGAUGACUGGGGGCCAUCUUGGAGACCAGCUACUAUGCCCAGCAUCUCCACCCAGACCUUGGGCAGAGGCAGGCCUGGGAGUUGGGGGCAGUGCGGGGAAGAAGUUGGACAGGGCCUUUCUGAUGGUAGGGGAAGGUCAGGGGCUGGUUGCCCAGCCGAAGGGUCUCUGACCCAAACCUAGAGCCCUGCCAUGGACAUCACAACAACAGGUAAGUUCCAGAAGCCCAGGAGCUGAUACCUCCAGAUUAGAUACCCUGCGGGCAGGAGAGGGGGCACCAUGCUUCUGGCUCCUGCCCUCUUGGUAGGCGGGGCACUGGGGCUGUGCCAGCAAGAAAAGAUGGGCUUGAGACCAGCAGGUUCUAGACCUGACACCCUUCCCCUUCUCCUCUCUCAGAUUUUCCAUGGUGGGUAUCUGUGAGCAGGGCAGGGCUGAAGACCCACACCUGCCCUAGGCCCCAUCAACCCCCGCCCCAACCCUGCCUCACCGCUGGCCCACAGGAACAGAACCUGGAGACCAUAAGUGAAAAUGGAACCUGAAUAUUCUUCCCUCACCCCGAGCCCAGGAGAGUUCUAGCUGCUGGGAAAGUUUUAUGCCUGGGGUCUGAAGACAAGUCCUGUCGCUCUGGCCUUCAGAUAAUACCACAGGAGGGCCGGGUGCAGUGGCUCACACCUGUAAUCCCAGCACUUCGGGAGGUGGAGGUGGGAGGAUCACCUGAGGUCGGGCAAGACCACCCUGGUCAACAUAGUGAAACCCCAUCUCUACUAAAAAUACAAAAAUUAGCCGGGUGUGGUGGUGGGUGCCUGUAUAAUCCCAGCUACUUGGGAGCCUGAGGCAGGAGAAUGGCUUGAAUCUGGGAGGUGGAGGUUGCAGUGAGCCGAGAUUGUGCCCCUGCACUCCAGCCUGGGCAUCAGACUUGUCUCAGAAAAAAAAAAAAAAAAGAUAAUUCCACUGGAGCCGGAACAUCCAUGGGGGAUCUUGACUGUCCCAGAACUCUCAAAACCAUCCCCUUGUGCUGUUGCUGGGGGCCCACCAUAUCCCCUGCACCAGGCGUCCCUCCCAGAGCAUUACAGGGGGUGCAGUGCUAGGAUGGACCACAAGGGGGUGUUGUGCUUGGACCAGGAAAUGAAGAGCCACCAGCCAAUAGUAGAGGGAAGACUUUGAGAAGCAGGGAGGGACAGAGGAGCUAGGCUUAGUGAGACAAGAAACACAGCAGGUAGAAUGCAAGGAAGGACCCGUAGUGGGAAUUCAGAAGUGGGGUGGGCCAGGCGCAGUGCUUCAUGCCUGUCAUCCCAGCACUUUGGGAGGCUAAGGCAGGCAGAUCACAAGGUCAGGAGUUCAAGGCCGGCCUGGCCAAAAUGGUGAAACCUCGUCUCUACUAAAAAUACAAAAAUUAGCCAGGCGUGGUAACAGCCACCUGUAAUCCCAGCUACUUGGGAGGCUAAGGCAGAAGAAUCACUUGAACCCGGGAGGCAGAGGUUGCAGUGAGCAGAGAUUACACCACCGCACUCCAGCCUGGCGACAGAGUGAGACACUAUCUCAAAAAAAAAAGAAGUGGGGUGGACCAGGUGCAGUGACUCAUGCCUGUCACCCCAGUACUUUGGGAGGCCGAAGUGAGCAGAUCCCUUGAGCCCAGGAGUUCAAGACCAUCCUGGGCAACAUAGGGAGACCUUGUCUCUACAAAAAAUAAAAAAUUAGGCCAGGCACGGUGGCUUACACCUAUAAUCCCAGCACUUUGGGAGGCCGAGGUGGGCGGAUCACCUGAGGUCAGGAGUUCGAGACCAGCCUGGCCAACAUGACGAAACCCCAUCUCUACUAAAAAUACAAAAAUUAGCCAGGCAUGGUGGCAUAUGCCUGUAAUCCCAGCUACUCAGGAGAUUGAGGCAGGAGAAUCACUUGAACCCGGGAGGCGGAGGUUGCAGUGAGCCAAGACCAUGCCAUUGCACUCCAGCCUGGGCAACAGAGCGAGAGUCUGUCUCAAAAAAAAAAAAAAAAAAAACCCAAAAAAAUUAGCCAGGUGUGGUGAAAAAGCAACAGGUCUGGAUGCAUGUGUGCAGGACAGCUGAGAAAGAAAGGUGAUUGUGACCAGGCGCAGUGACUCACACCUGUGGUCCCAGCACUUUGGGAGCACACACCACCACACCCGACUAAUUUUUGUAUUUUUAGUAGAGAUGGGG